UAACACAUGCAAGUCGAACGGAAACGAAACUAGCUUGCUAGUAGGCGUCGAGUGGCGGACGGGUGAGUAACGCGUAGGAAUCUGCCUGAUAGUGGGGGAUAGCCCGAAGAAAUUCGGAUUAAUACCGCAUAAUCUAUUCGUAGUAAAGUGGGGGACUUUCGAGCCUCACGCUAUCAGAUGAGCCUGCGUAAGAUUAGCUUGUUGGUAGGGUAAAAGCCUACCAAGGCUACGAUCUUUAGCUGGUCUGAGAGGAUGAUCAGCCACAUCGGGACUGAGACACGGCCCGAACUCCUACGGGAGGCAGCAGUGGGGAAUAUUGGACAAUGGGGGCAACCCUGAUCCAGCAAUACCGCGUGUGUGAAGAAGGCUGAGGGUUGUAAAGCACUUUCAAUUGUGAAGAAAAGUUAACGGUUAAUAACCGUUGACCUCGACGUUAACUUUAGAAGAAGCACCGGCUAACUCCGUGCCAGCAGCCGCGGUAAUACGGAGGGUGCAAGCGUUAAUCGGAAUUACUGGGCGUAAAGCGUGCGUAGGCGGUUUAUUAAGUCAGAUGUGAAAGCCCCGGGCUUAACCUGGGAACUGCAUUUGAAACUGGUCAACUAGAGUAUGGUAGAGGAAAGUGGAAUUUCUGGUGUAGCGGUGAAAUGCGUAGAUAUCAGAAGGAACAUCAAUGGCGAAGGCAGCUUUCUGGACCAAUACUGACGCUGAGGUACGAAAGCGUGGGUAGCAAACAGGAUUAGAUACCCUGGUAGUCCACGCCGUAAACGAUGAUAACUAGCCGUUGGGGGGAUUUACCCCUCAGUGGCGAAGCUAACGCGUUAAGUUAUCCGCCUGGGGAGUACGGCCGCAAGGCUAAAACUCAAAGGAAUUGACGGGGACCCGCACAAGCGGUGGAGCAUGUGGUUUAAUUCGAUGCAACGCGAAGAACCUUACCUGGUCUUGACAUCCUGCGAACUUUCUAGAAAUAGAUUGGUGCCUUCGGGAACGCAGUGACAGGUGCUGCAUGGCUGUCGCCAGCUCGUGUCGUGAGAUGUUGGGUUAAGUCCCGUAACGAGCGCAACCCCUAUCCUUAUUUGCCAGCACAUUAUGGUGGGAACUAUAAGGAGACUGCCGGUGAUAAACCGGAGGAAGGCGGGGACGACGUCAAGUCAUCAUGGCCCUUACGACCAGGGCUACACACGUGCUACAAUGGGAAGGACAAAGAGCCGCGAAGCCGCGAGGUGUAGCUAAUCUCAUAAAUCUUUUCGUAGUCCGGAUUGGAGUCUGCAACUCGACUCCAUGAAGUCGGAAUCGCUAGUAAUCGUAGAUCAGAAUGCUACGGUGAAUACGUCCCCGGGUCUUGUACACACCGCCCGUCAUACCAUGGGAGUGGGUUGCACCAGAAGUGGCUAGCCUAACUUUGUGAGGACGGUCACCACGGUGUGAUUCAUGACUGGGGUA
rnacentral:rRNA from 1 species